rnacentral:rRNA from 1 species
GAACGGGUGAGUAACACGUGAGAAUCUACCCUUUAGUGAAGAAUACCUCCGAGAAAUCGGUGUUAAUACUGCAUACGUCCCUUCGGGGAGAAAGAUGGCCUCUUUGCUAUCGCUAAAGGAUGAGCUUGCGUACUAUUAGUUAGUUGGUGAGGUAAUGGCUCACCAAGACAAUGAUGGUUAACCGGCCUGGGAGGGUGUUCGGUCACACUGGAACUUAGACACGGUCCAGACUCCUACGGGAGGCAGCAGUGAGGAAUCUUGC